rnacentral:rRNA from 1 species
UACGUAGGGUGCGAGCGUUAAUCGGAAUUACUGGGCGUAAAGCGUGCGCAGGCGGCUUUGCAAGACAGAUGUGAAAGCCCCGGGCUCAACCUGGGAAUGGCAUUUGGGACUGCAAGGCUUGAGUGCGGCAGAGGAGACUGGAAUUCCUGGUGUAGCAGUGAAAUGCGUAGAUAUCAGGAGGAAUACCGAUGGCGAAGGCAGGUCUCUGGGCUGACACUGACGCUCAUGCACGAAAGCGUGGGGAGCAAACAGG